UACGGGGGGGGCAAGCGUUGUUCGGAAUUACUGGGCGUAAAGGGCUCGUAGGCGGCCAACUAAGUCGGACGUGAAAUCCCUCGGCUUAACCGGGGAACUGCGUCCGAUACUGGCGGGCUUGAGUUUGGGAGAGGGAUGCGGAAUUCCAGGUGUAGCGGUGAAAUGCGUAGAUAUCUGGAGGAACACCGGUGGCGAAGGCGGCAUCCUGGACCAACACUGACGCUGAGGAGCGAAAGCCAGGGGAGCAAACGGG
rnacentral:rRNA from 1 species